GAUGAACGCUGGCGGCGUGCCUAAUACAUGCAAGUCGAGCGAACAGAUGAGGAGCUUGCUCCUCUGACGUUAGCGACGGACGGGUGAGUAACACGUGGAUAACCUACCUAUAAGACUGGGAUAACUUCGGGAAACCGGAGCUAAUACCGGAUAAUAUAUUGAACCGCAUGGUUCAAUAGUGAAAGACGGUUUUGCUGUCACUUAUAGAUGGAUCCGCGCCGCAUUAGCUAGUUGGUAAGGUAACGGCUUACCAAGGCAACGAUGCGUAGCCGACCUGAGAGGGUGAUCGGCCACACUGGAACUGAGACACGGUCCAGACUCCUACGGGAGGCAGCAGUAGGGAAUCUUCCGCAAUGGGCGAAAGCCUGACGGAGCAACGCCGCGUGAGUGAUGAAGGUCUUCGGAUCGUAAAACUCUGUUAUUAGGGAAGAACAAAUGUGUAAGUAACUAUGCCCGUCUUGACGGUACCUAAUCAGAAAGCCACGGCUAACUACGUG
rnacentral:rRNA from 1 species